ensembl:lncRNA
AUUUGGUUUAUCUGGCCUCAUCCUAGCUAAUUAGAAAAGGCAAUCACCAUUUACAACCUGAGUCUUUCACUAUAGUGUUUGGUUACUCAGUUGCUCUAAUCCUCGAAUGCUAUGGAAACUGCUUUUGCCAACGCAUUGUGAAAUAUUAGCCUAGAACAUGUAAGCUAGAUCAACACAUGUAAUAACAAACAUGGCCGUGUCAUUACACCCCCUGCUUCAUUGUCUGCAGGUUUUUGUUUUAGGUACGUAAAGGUACAAGUCAUUGUGUUGACAUGAUCAUGGAUCCAUGUUCCCAGUGCAUGGUGAACCCAUUAGACACGCCCCUCGUCCGUGGGGCUUUGGCCGGGCUAUCUCCUGCUAGGCACCCUCCAUUCAUCUUAUGAGCGUUCCAUUGGCCGAGGCAGAAUCUGCUAAAGGUCACUGCCACUAAUUACACUUUCCAAAAGGGACAGAUGCCCACCCUCGGCCCCUUAUUUUUCUUUCCAUCAAAAGAAUAUUCAUCCAUCGCAGAAGGGAUUCCUGGAGUGAUUUCAGCGAAGCACCAUGUCCUUUAUCGGUGUGACAUCAACCCCACCAAAGGUUAUAACGCAGAGCUGGCCCAGGUGACUUAUUCGUAGGGCCCAGGGGACUAUUCUUUUGCCAAGGCCACUAUAUUAGCAUGGCCAUCCCCAGAUCACUAUAUUAGUAUGGCCCAGAUCACUAUUGGUAUAGCCCACGUCACUAUAUUGGUAUGGCCCAGGUCACUAUAUUGGUAUGGCCCAGGUCACUAUACUGGUAUGGCCGAGGUCACUAUAUUGCCAAGGUCACUAUACUGGUAUGGCCCAGGUCACUAUACUGGUAUAUGGUCCAACCGAGCCUCAGUCCAGAGUCCCGGGUUCACUAUAAGGACUAACUCUCCCAGCCUCUCUGGGUUGCUCUCUAGGUUACUCUCUCUUACUGCCACAGAGGGAGAAGGAGCCGGCUGGAUCCAGAGUUCAAGCUCAUUAUCCUGGCCCUCAAUCAGACCUCCAGCCAGCUCUUAAUUGAGCCAUCAGCGCCU